ACUGUAUGGUAUGUAUUUUCCUUCACCUCUUUUUUCAGAUCCAUUUUUUCUUCUCUCCUGUCUCCUCUUCUCUUCUCUUAUCUCGCUGAAGAAAAAAUUUCUACAUUAAUGUUUUCAUACAAACUCCCCCAUAGGUUCUCACCUUACAGCAAAGAGAGCAAGGCCUGUAACCCUAGCCUAAAAUCCCUCCUCCUCCUCCUCCACUGAUACUGUCUCAAUUCUAAAACCUAACCCCAGAUAAAGAGGAUCUCACUUGUGUCUUCUUUGACUUCAAUCUAAUAAGUAUGGAUAAUCGCGAUCUGAAGAGGAUACACCUCCAGCUGAAAUUAAGGCAUCUGCUUCUGGUUUGGUUGAGUUGUGCCUGCUGCCUAAGUCUAUUUAUCUUUUGAAGUCCUAACUGAGUCGUUUUGGUUGUUAACACAUCUCUUUAUCGAAACAAACUCAGUCAAAUGCUUUUGAUUCGCUCAAACAAAUCCAGAAAGGAGGAACCUAAAGACCCUCAUGAUGCAGGUAAAAAUUGUGAAAUUACUUAGGCUUGUAUCUGCACAAUCAUCACUUGUAUUUCCCCUGGUGAGUGUCUUGGUGCUGCUUUGGUUAGGUAAGCUUCCCCUGGUGAUUUAUGUUCCAUGUAACUUCAAUUCCAGUGUUUGCAAAUAACUUUUUCUUGCUACGAUCCUUUGAAUUACCUUGCUUGUGCUCUUGUCGUAUCAUGCAACAAUUGCAUCUUGUAUGCAGGAUCUGUCACAUCUUUCGCUUUCCCCCCUAAGUAUAUAUUUUACAACUUAUUCAUCAGACACACUGAACCCUGUCUCCAAAAGCGGAACAAUGCAUCAGUUGGUCUUCUAAGUUAAAACCCAGACAUAAACAUACUGUACGAAUUUAGAGAUUAAACGAAGCAGUUAGCAAAUAGUAUCUUCAUGUUGCUAUAUCUAAGUGAAUCCAGUUGAUUUUCAAGUAAGAAAAGACUAAGCUAGACACUGCUCAAUUUUAAUAAAUUACGUAUGUGUAGUAGUGGAGAUAAAGUAACAAAAUAAUUUCUAGUGACAAUAAAGUUAAAAUGAUUUCCAGUUGCAACGCUGCUGUCAACUAACUAUUGUGUUUAUUAUUAGAGUUAUCCGUUUGUAUGGUAACUUUUGGGCAGUUCCAAGGUGCAGUGAAAUUCUUCCUUACACCUAUUGGUGAUUGUUGUUUUUCGACACUUGACGAUUUUUCUGUUAAUGAUUGUGUUUGAAGGAGGAGUCCGAGUCUCUUCAAUUCAUGCACGUAAUAUAUAACUGGCAAAUGUUGUAGUGCGACAUUCCUAAAGUGAUCUAUACGACGGCGUUUGCUUCUUUGACUGCUAUAGUAGUAAUAAAGGCUGUGUAGUUUACGAAGUUUGAGCAACCAUAUUCGCAUUAGGAACUUUGAGGAGCGGGCAAACGGAAUAAAUAUUUCAUAGACUAUGUUAUAUUAACUUAUUAUGCUUUUUUAGAUACAAAUAGGACCCAGGAUUCCCUUAUCUGCAGCUUCAUCUAGUGGCGGAGCAUCAUAUUCAAAUGCAGAGUCAGAGGAAGGCGAAUUAGGUGGCCCCCGUUCCCCUCCUCCACCACCACCACCCUUGACAGACUCUAGUGAAUUAGGCCCCGGGGAUGUCUCUACAUUGCCUCUUACCUCCUCCACCUCCAAUGCCACCUCAGCCUGCUGCUGCUAACUUAGGUAGUGCAUUGCCCCCACCAUCACGCCUGAGUCUGAGCUUUAACAUCUCUCUCUCUCCCUCUCUUUCUCUCUGCAGGUGUUGGUUAUGCUUCCUCCACCACCCCGACCUCCCGGAUUGCCACCUAAAUCUGAUGCCAAUAGUUUUACAGGGACCAAGGAUGUCAUUAACAUGCUUCCACCACUUCCAAAUCAGCCAGUGCCAAGGCCUGCCUUAAUCCAUACCAUACAGCUGGAUGUACUACCCCCAGGCAUUGCUCGCUCAGAUCUUCAGCACCCCAGAAGCCAUCUUAUGUUAAGUCGGCAGCAUCUACAGUUGUGAAGAGGCCGCUGGCACAGCAUACUCCUGAACUUACAGCUGUGGUGUGUUCGCAUUUUGUCCCAAGCUGUACACAUGCAUUUUGUGUGUUUUUAAAUUAAGUUACUACCUUUUGUACUAUCUGGGUUGUUCUGUUGCCCAGAUUCUAUUUCUGAAUCAAUUAAACAUCUUAUUGACAUAUAUGUAAAUUUCUAUGGUGCAUCAAUGUAAAACAUUGUUACGAAUGUGUGAUGGUGCAAAUUUAUACAAUCUUAAGUUUACCGGA